rnacentral:lncRNA from 1 species
CGGACGAUUCCACACAGUGACUCACCGAUUCACUGUGCGAAAUCGGCGAGUCCGUGAAGAACACGGGUUGCACAGUGUUCUUCACGGAUUUUUUUCAAAUUUGUCAUUUUUUGAUCAUUUUUUUUGUUUUUUUCGGCACGUGAUCUGUUUUGCAGGCUGUAAACAGCUUUAUUCAGCUUUUUCAACGAUUUAAUGGUGGAAAAAUUGGUUGUUUUUGGAUCAAGAAAAAUUCGGG